UGUUCACUGACCGAACCGGAGCCACGAACUACUAAAGCGCUACGGGUGUUUUUAUAUCAAGCGCGAUUCCGUUGAAAAUUGCCCUCUCAUUCUAACCCAGUUCAGUAUUCUGUUGACUUGCGGCGGCGGUUCAGCAAAUCGGCUGAUCUGUUCUCAAAUCCGUAAAACGACCAGAAAUUAUGAAGUUUUUCGUACGUGAUGAAUUCUACCGUAUUUCAAUAACUCGCAAUGAACAGACAAAUGUGGAAAUGACACGAAUAUGAAUUGUUAAUGUACAUGCGAUAAUAUAAUGUGAAUUUUGUGAAUUUCAAAUAAAAAUAGAUCUAUUCAACGCAGUGAUUAACAUGAUCGUUUAAUAAUAAUAAUAAUAAUGUAAACACAGAUCUUACACCACAAGGUAUUUUUAUA